UACGUAGGGUGCGAGCGUUGUCCGGAAUUAUUGGGCGUAAAGGGCUCGUAGGCGGUUUGUCGCGUCGGGAGUGAAAACCUUGGGCUUAACUCAGGGCUUGCUUUCGAUACGGGCAGACUAGAGGUAUGCAGGGGAGAACGGAAUUCCUGGUGUAGCGGUGAAAUGCGCAGAUAUCAGGAGGAACACCGGUGGCGAAGGCGGUUCUCUGGGCCUUACCUGACGCUCAGGCGCGAAAGCUAGGGGGAGCGAACAGG
rnacentral:rRNA from 1 species